CCGCACAAGCGGUGGAGUAUGUGGUUUAAUUCGAUGCAACGCGAAGAACCUUACCUGGUCUUGACAUCCCGGAGACCCUUAGGAAACUAGGGGUGCUUCCAUCUGGAAGAAUCUGGAGACAGGUGCUGCAUGGCUGUCGUCAGCUCGUGUCGUGAGAUGUUGGGUUAAGUCCCGCAACGAGCGCAACCCUUGCCUUUAGUUGCCAGCAGUUCGGCUGGGCACUCUAAAGGGACUGCCGGUGUUAAACCGGAGGAAGGUGGGGAUGACGUCAAGUCCUCAUGGCCUUUAUGACCAGGGCUACACACGUACUACAAUGGCCGAUACAAAGGGCAGCGACACUGCGAGGUGAAGCCAAUCCCGUAAAAUCGGUCUCAGUCCGGAUUGGAGUCUGCAACUCGACUCCAUGAAGUUGGAAUCGCUAGUAAUCGUGGAUCAGCAUGCCACGGUGAAUACGUUCCCGGGCCUU
rnacentral:rRNA from 1 species